rnacentral:lncRNA from 1 species
CACACGUCUCUUUACUUCCCAUUUCAAUUGCCACACCUGCCACGGGGACUCCUGGGAACCACAGAGGAAUCAUAGCUAUUUGGUGAACAUGACUUCUCUCCGCCACACAUCAUUUUUCGGUCGACGAGAAAAAGAAGAAAGAAACUCUUCUCUAGGAUGCCAAAAUUUGUGAUGAGAGUGGCUCUUGACAUACAUAUUUUAAGGCCAACAGAAUCUUUGGAGUGAAGCGAGAUAUAAGAUGAAAGUGGUGAAUACAGGCACGAGGAAGGCUAAGGAGCUUACUGAAGAGCCAGGAGCUGGUCAGAGGGGAGUCUGGAAUGACACUCAGCUCCUGACUCCAAACCGUGGCCUAAGCCCCACACUUUGUGUUUUGGGAAUGAGCAUCUUCCCUAAAGCCUGCAGUCCUGGCCCAGCCCAGCUGCAGCCCCUGUAACUACAGCCCGUUUCUAAAUCGCCCCUCCCCGGUGCCCACGUGCCUUUGUGAGCCAGGCCAUUCUUCCCGCCAGCCCUGGUCGCAGCCAAGCUUGCUGUGCCCUUGAACUUUUUUGCUUGGGUCAUGAAGAAAGGAACCUUCAGUGCAUUUCAAUUCUCCAAGACAAGCUUGCAGAGAUGCUGCUGGCCCCUUCCCAGUGAUGAUUUAUGCAGGGUACGUGGAAAAGCAUGCUGUUUUCAUUCCUUUUAAAACCAAGUAAUGACCUAGGGGGAGAACGUUAUGUCUGUAUCUGUCUCUGUUCCUUUCUCUGUAUCUCUGUCUCUUUUUCUAUCUAAAUCUGUGUAUCCACAUCUAUAUUUGUCUGCAUAGAGAUGCAGUGACGUGAAUUUAGUAGCCUAACAGAGCCUUGCCACACUGUCGUCUAUUUAUAUUUGACCUGGUAGAAUUUGGCACUUAUUUGCAAUGCAAAGAUGCAGAGUUGCAUCGUGUCCUUUAAGAAAUAUAUACGUAAAUAUAGGCCAACCCUUUCAAGCAAAAUAAAAAUAUAUGGUGCUUGUCUUUGUGUUACGGAGAUGCAGGUAUUCAAAUCAACUCAGGAUAAUACUCACUGGGAAACUGAGAAGAAACACUAACUGAGUGACUUUGGGCAAGUCCCUCAAAUGCUCAGAGUCUCAAAUUCUUCAUGAAAAAACUGCAAGAUUUAGACCAGAUGAUCUCUAAGGGAAAGCCAACUCCUGUGAUCCAGAAGCUUUUGAUUUUUGCCUGGCAUCCUUUAAUAAAU